UCGAGAAUCUUCCUCAAUGGCCGAAAGGCUGAAGGAGCGACGCCGCGUGCAGGAAGACGGCCUUCGGGUUGUAAACUGCUUUUAUCAGGGACGAACACUGACGGUACCUGAAGAAUAAGGGGUUGCUAACUCUGUG
rnacentral:rRNA from 1 species